GUGAACGCUGGCGGUAGGCCUAACCCAUGCAAGUCGCACGGCAGCACAGUAAGAACUUGCUCUUACGGGUGGCGAGUGGCGGACGGGUGAGGAAUACAUCGGAAUCUACUUUUUCGUGGGGGAUAACGUAGGGAAACUUACGCUAAUACCGCAUACGACCUACGGGUGAAAGCAGGGGAUCUUCGGACCUUGCGCGAUUGAAUGAGCCGAUGUCGGAUUAGCUAGUUGGCGGGGUAAAGGCCCACCAAGGCGACGAUCCGUAGCUGGUCUGAGAGGAUGAUCAGCCACACUGGAACUGAGACACGGUCCAGACUCCUACGGGAGGCAGCAGUGGGGAAUAUUGGACAAUGGGCGCAAGCCUGAUCCAGCCAUACCGCGUGGGUGAAGAAGGCCUUCGGGUUGUAAAGCCCUUUUGUUGGGAAAGAAAAGCAGCAGGUUAAUACCCCGCUGUUCUGACGGUACCCAAAGAAUAAGCACCGGCUAACUUCGUG
rnacentral:rRNA from 1 species